GAGUUCUCACUUUCCUUUUGAAAGGGGCAGCAGCUGGCAAUGCUGCCCACAGCUCAUCCCAUCUCCUCUGUCCCCAGGCACUCCGAGGGAGAGGAAGAGACCAGGACUGAGGCCAACUCCGACACAAACACCACGUGACACCACUUGGGAGUAAAAGCCAGGAUUACUUCCUGCCUUCUGCUGAGCCUGUGAAGUCUCAAGAAAAGUGUCUCACUCUAGGGAAAGGAAAGUAGAGCCUGGAACCCCAUUUUGCCAAUUACUUUCAGUAGCAGCUCAGUUCCCAGCCAGCACCCAGCCCAUCCCAUCCUCGGCACACACCAAAACCCUCCACAGACCAACCCACGACACCGACCUGAACACCGGUGGAUGGAUCCACAUCACCCAGCUGCCCUCCC